GUUAAAAGUUUAAUUAAAAAAUAUAUCCAAAAAAAAUUACAUCAAAGUAAAUUACAUUGUUUUAAUUGAUACUGAUUGCAUGUCCAAAUUACCAAACAUGUAAUUUGGCUCUACUAAAUCAAACCAAGAAAAAUUAGAUUAAUCAGGAAAGAGAGACAAUUUCAAAAAUCAAGAACAAUCAAGCCCUAUAACUGCUACCAAUACAUCAGAAAGAGAGCUAGAACUAAUAGAGAGCUGAAAGCACUAUUAGUUGCGAUUGCCUUGCGACCGUUGUUGGUUGGACGUAUUGUAGGGAGUGCACACUCCUCACCAUUAAAGAAGACUCUCAUAGGAAACCCAUCGCCAUCAGCCACAUCAAUGCCAGGUGUUUUUUUCUUGGUGAAAGAGAGAAUUGACUGCUGUGUGCCAGGAACCCGAGGAUCUUUUCUUGGGUUGGCGCCAUCCAUUUCUGCCACUAGGUAAUUGAAGUCUGGAAGGCCUUGCAUGAAUAUGAUAUUGCUGGAAUUAGGCAGGACACUUCCAUUGAAGGAGUAGGCUUUUUCAAAGCCUGGCCCUGCCUUGUCGAGUUGCACUGCAGCAACCCAAUUUGCAAAAUCAGUGUCACCCCAGUUGAAGAGGGUGAUCCUUGCGGUCCAGCCAUCUCUAUAAUCUGAUAGUAAAUGCCAGUUAAUGCUAACUCCGCAGUUAUUCCCACACGGCAGUGGAUUACGCACAUCCCUCCUUUUCAAUUCUGCCCAUUUCAAAGCUUCAGCAGUCCGGUUCUCAAAUGGGACCAGAAGAGAUUCCGAUGGUAGAAGAAGAGCUGGUUCGUUAGCAUUGCAGGUUUGACUUGGGUUGUUGCAGCCGCAUGCACAGGUGCUACAAGGGACAACAGAAUCAUUGAAAAAAGACGAAAAAGAUACGCAACAUUUUGGGGGCUCCUCCCUGAAACGUGUUAUGUUGCAAGCCACUUGCCAACUAGCUACUGCUUCUGUUCUUGAAGGCAAACCAGUUGGGUCAGGGUACUGGCUUGGGCUCACUUGCAGCGGAGGCCCACAUUGGAAAUUUGAACUGAAUGUGCCAUUAAUCUUCCAGUUCAGUGGUGGAAAGAAUUCUGUCCUGUUCAAGUCUGGCGGCAUCUUGAACACUUGCAUUUGGAAAGCUGAAAGAGACUUACUUGGAUCCAUAUUAGGUGGUAGAAUAGUCCCGUUUCGACAGCAGAAGGGAAUCAAGCCAAUCUGUGUAUCGUUUGCUCUUGUUGGAGGCAAGUCAACGAUUGUAGGGCUCCUCUCACAAUUCAGUGCCUGAGAAAAAUCCAUUUCCUUGUAGUGCUGACCUUGGGGACCAAAAACACAUCCUGUUGUAUCAACAACAGAAGGAUAAGCUCCUUUCAUGGCAUAGAUAAAUUCACCCCUUGUCCAAUCCCAGCUUAAUUUCCAAUUGUCAAGACGUCCGAGAGGAUUAUGGUUCGAGAUAGACACUUGUGCCCAGUAAUCAGUUUCAUAUGUUCUGAUUAUAUCAUACAUGAUUAUAAGGUCACCAUCUUUUCGGGGCUGGAAAUUUUCCAGGGUGAUGUUUGAUGGAGCAUUCAAAUCUCUAGUGCAACACAGUUGCAACUCGUUGCCUGAACACAAGUCACACAAAGAGGAGCAUUAAGCAAAUUCGGAACUCAAGUCACCGAAUAAAGAGGUUGAAAAACCUGACAAGAAGUUUGGAUUUCCUACACACACAUGAUUUGCAUAAAAGAA
rnacentral:misc_RNA from 1 species